rnacentral:rRNA from 2 species
UUAAGCGACUAAGCGUACACGGUGGAUGCCCUGGCAGUCAGAGGCGAUGAAGGACGUGCUAAUCUGCGAUAAGCGUCGGUAAGGUGAUAUGAACCGUUAUAACCGGCGAUUUCCGAAUGGGGAAACCCAGUGUGUUUCGACACACUAUCAUUAACUGAAUCCAUAGGUUAAUGAGGCGAACCGGGGGAACUGAAACAUCUAAGUACCCCGAGGAAAAGAAAUCAACCGAGAUUCCCCCAGUAGCGGCGAGCGAACGGGGAGGAGCCCAGAGCCUGAAUCAGUGUGUGUGUUAGUGGAAGCGUCUGGAAAGGCGCGCGAUACAGGGUGACAGCCCCGUACACAAAAAUGCACAUAUUGUGAGCUCGAUGAGUAGGGCGGGACACGUGGUAUCCUGUCUGAAUAUGGGGGGACCAUCCUCCAAGGCUAAAUACUCCUGACUGACCGAUAGUGAACCAGUACCGUGAGGGAAAGGCGAAAAGAACCCCGGCGAGGGGAGUGAAAAAGAACCUGAAACCGUGUACGUACAAGCAGUGGGAGCCUCUUUAUGGGGUGACUGCGUACCUUUUGUAUAAUGGGUCAGCGACUUAUAUUCUGUAGCAAGGUUAACCGAAUAGGGGAGCCGAAGGGAAACCGAGUCUUAACUGGGCGUUAAGUUGCAGGGUAUAGACCCGAAACCCGGUGAUCUAGCCAUGGGCAGGUUGAAGGUUGGGUAACACUAACUGGAGGACCGAACCGACUAAUGUUGAAAAAUUAGCGGAUGACUUGUGGCUGGGGGUGAAAGGCCAAUCAAACCGGGAGAUAGCUGGUUCUCCCCGAAAGCUAUUUAGGUAGCGCCUCGUGAAUUCAUCUCCGGGGGUAGAGCACUGUUUCGGCAAGGGGGUCAUCCCGACUUACCAACCCGAUGCAAACUGCGAAUACCGGAGAAUGUUAUCACGGGAGACACACGGCGGGUGCUAACGUCCGUCGUGAAGAGGGAAACAACCCAGACCGCCAGCUAAGGUCCCAAAGUCAUGGUUAAGUGGGAAACGAUGUGGGAAGGCCCAGACAGCCAGGAUGUUGGCUUAGAAGCAGCCAUCAUUUAAAGAAAGCGUAAUAGCUCACUGGUCGAGUCGGCCUGCGCGGAAGAUGUAACGGGGCUAAACCAUGCACCGAAGCUGCGGCAGCGACACUAUGUGUUGUUGGGUAGGGGAGCGUUCUGUAAGCCUGUGAAGGUGGCCUGUGAGGGUUGCUGGAGGUAUCAGAAGUGCGAAUGCUGACAUAAGUAACGAUAAAGCGGGUGAAAAGCCCGCUCGCCGGAAGACCAAGGGUUCCUGUCCAACGUUAAUCGGGGCAGGGUGAGUCGACCCCUAAGGCGAGGCCGAAAGGCGUAGUCGAUGGGAAACAGGUUAAUAUUCCUGUACUUGGUGUUACUGCGAAGGGGGGACGGAGAAGGCUAUGUUGGCCGGGCGACGGUUGUCCCGGUUUAAGCGUGUAGGCUGGUUUUCCAGGCAAAUCCGGAAAACCAAGGCUGAGGCGUGAUGACGAGGCACUACGGUGCUGAAGCGACAAAUGCCCUGCUUCCAGGAAAAGCCUCUAAGCAUCAGGUAACAUCAAAUCGUACCCCAAACCGACACAGGUGGUCAGGUAGAGAAUACCAAGGCGCUUGAGAGAACUCGGGUGAAGGAACUAGGCAAAAUGGUGCCGUAACUUCGGGAGAAGGCACGCUGAUAUGUAGGUGAAGCGACUUGCUCGUGGAGCUGAAAUCAGUCGAAGAUACCAGCUGGCUGCAACUGUUUAUUAAAAACACAGCACUGUGCAAACACGAAAGUGGACGUAUACGGUGUGACGCCUGCCCGGUGCCGGAAGGUUAAUUGAUGGGGUUAGCGGUAACGCGAAGCUCUUGAUCGAAGCCCCGGUAAACGGCGGCCGUAACUAUAACGGUCCUAAGGUAGCGAAAUUCCUUGUCGGGUAAGUUCCGACCUGCACGAAUGGCGUAAUGAUGGCCAGGCUGUCUCCACCCGAGACUCAGUGAAAUUGAACUCGCUGUGAAGAUGCAGUGUACCCGCGGCAAGACGGAAAGACCCCGUGAACCUUUACUAUAGCUUGACACUGAACAUUGAGCCUUGAUGUGUAGGAUAGGUGGGAGGCUUUGAAGUGUGGACGCCAGUCUGCAUGGAGCCGACCUUGAAAUACCACCCUUUAAUGUUUGAUGUUCUAACGUUGGCCCGUAAUCCGGGUUGCGGACAGUGUCUGGUGGGUAGUUUGACUGGGGCGGUCUCCUCCUAAAGAGUAACGGAGGAGCACGAAGGUUGGCUAAUCCUGGUCGGACAUCAGGAGGUUAGUGCAAUGGCAUAAGCCAGCUUGACUGCGAGCGUGACGGCGCGAGCAGGUGCGAAAGCAGGUCAUAGUGAUCCGGUGGUUCUGAAUGGAAGGGCCAUCGCUCAACGGAUAAAAGGUACUCCGGGGAUAACAGGCUGAUACCGCCCAAGAGUUCAUAUCGACGGCGGUGUUUGGCACCUCGAUGUCGGCUCAUCACAUCCUGGGGCUGAAGUAGGUCCCAAGGGUAUGGCUGUUCGCCAUUUAAAGUGGUACGCGAGCUGGGUUUAGAACGUCGUGAGACAGUUCGGUCCCUAUCUGCCGUGGGCGCUGGAGAACUGAGGGGGGCUGCUCCUAGUACGAGAGGACCGGAGUGGACGCAUCACUGGUGUUCGGGUUGUCAUGCCAAUGGCACUGCCCGGUAGCUAAAUGCGGAAGAGAUAAGUGCUGAAAGCAUCUAAGCACGAAACUUGCCCCGAGAUGAGUUCUCCCUGAGACUUAGAGUCUCCUGAAGGAACGUUGAAGACGACGACGUUGAUAGGCCGGGUGUGUAAGCGCAGCGAUGCGUUGAGCUAACCGGUACUAAUGAACCGUGAGGCUUAACCUU